UACGGGGGGGGCAAGCGUUGUUCGGAAUUACUGGGCGUAAAGGGCUCGUAGGUGGCCAACUAAGUCGGACGUGAAAUCCCUCGGCUUAACCGGGGAACUGCAUCCGAUACUGGAUGGCUUGAGUUCGGGAGAGGGAUGCGGAAUUCCAGGUGUAGCGGUGAAAUGCGUAGAUAUCAGGAGGAACACCGAUGGCGAAGGCAGGUCUCUGGGCUGACACUGACGCUCAUGCACGAAAGCGUGGGGAGCAAACAGG
rnacentral:rRNA from 1 species